UUCAGUUUCUAGAAAGAGGCUUUGAAAAAGGAGGAUAAAAGAGGGAGGAAAGGAGAAAAACGCCUGAAGGCAAUAUCUGAGCAUUGGAGCAUGGACCCCGAAAAAAAGAAGGGCCCCCCUCCAGCUUCACUAACA
ensembl:ncRNA C23H4.10 ncRNA